CUAACAUAGCCAUAACUCCCUCUCUCCUAUGGGUGUUUAAAAUCGAUCCGAAUCGAACCAAAAAAAUAAAAACCUGAACAAACUAAAAAUCGAAAAAAUCGAAAAAUGUGUUUUGUUUUUUGCGGUUUGAUUCGGUUUUCGGUUAUAACCAUGAAAUUUCAACCGAACCGAACCGGGCCGGAUAAGUAAAAACCCUAAAAAACCAACCCCCAACCCCCAAAUGAGCGCUGCGGCUGCGCGACCUAACCCCCACCCCCAAUUGAAACCUAGCGCUCUCUUGAGUCUCUUCUACAAUCCCGCUCUCUGCACCCAGUCACCCACACCCACGUUCUUGAGUCUCGAGGUCGACGGCGAGAGACCGUUCCUCCCAGGCUCCCACCACCUCGAAGCCUUCCUCCCAACGCCGAAGCCGUUUCACCAACUGCUCCCUGGACCUUUUCACCCCACAGUGCACCACGGUCCACGAAGCCCCAGCCACAGCCAGCACCACCGUCGCAGGCUCGCACCCAGCAGACAGAGCACCAUUUCGGGCCACCGACGCAGCAGUAGCACAGCACGACGCCACCACCCACUGACCCAGCAGACCAGCACAACACCACGCCAGUGACGCCACCAGCCAGCAGCACCCAGCAGCGUUUCCCAGUCCCCUACCCAGCCACCGAUUCAAGUCAUUUAAAGUCAAUAUGGAGCCCGAGCCACCCAUCAGAUUCUUGCCAAGUGCGAGUUCCUUAACCCUGGUGUCAGUGUCAAAGAUCGUGUUGCUCUUCAAAUUAUCUAAGAAAAAUACUAAAUGGGGGUUUCUUGAGGGUGUGAGAGUGUCUGGUGCACCGCCACCUAGAAUGGUCUUGGUGCAGCAGUGUAUCCGUGAUAAAGGUGUAUUGGCAGUUCUAUGCAACUAUGUGAGUGCUCAAUUCGUUUUUGUUUUUGUAUUUGAUUGUUGUCUAAUGGAAUUGAAUAGUUAGACAAGAGAGUUUCAAUUGCAGGCAGCUCCAUUGAAGAAGUUUCAACCUUCAAGAUAUGUAAUAGGCUUAUGUACUGCUGUUUGCAUUGAAGUUCUGGGUAGUCUUGUAACGAUUAAUGAUGAUAUAUUGGUGUCAUGCUUAUUCAUGCAAAAAUUGUUAGAAAAUUGAUUGAUUUUUAACAUAAUUGAUAACCUUGAUCAUCUUGAGAAAUAAAGAAAUAUGAUUCUGAUGAGAUUAUUAUAAUUUGUGCUCUUGGAGCAGCUGCCCGCUGGUAGUUCUGCCCCCUUGCACAAGUUACAUGGUUUUGGAAAUUUAAGCGAGACUAUCAAGGUGGGGACUUCUUUUUUGUCUUUUCUCUAGCCAGCAAGAUUGCCCCAAGUGUUAUUUUUGUCGAUGAGGUCGACAGAAUGUUAGGAAGACGUGAAACUCCUGGCAAACAUGAGACUAUGCGUAAAAUGAAGAAUGAGUUUGUGAUGAAUUGGGAUGGUCUGCGAACAAAAGAUAAAGAGCGUGUACUUGUUCUCGCUGCUACAAAUAGGCCCUUUGAUCUUGAUGAGGCUGUUAUUAGGAGGCUUCCAUGAAGAAAAUAAACAGGGUAUAUUUGAUGCUAUUCUUCAUGGACGCAUUGAUUUCUCAUCGGAAGCUUGGCCUUCCAUAUCGAGCAGUGCCAAAAAUCUGGUCAAGACGUUACAUGCUGACGCCAAGGAAUGGCUUUCAGCAGUUGAAGUCCUUAACCAGCUGGCUGUGUUAUAUCUUCAGCAUAAAUCUCUAGUCUUAUCUUUGAGAUCAGAUUUGUUGGAAGGAUAACAAAAUCAGCGAAGACUGAAAAACUGGCAUGAAAUAAAUUUAAUUGUGACACAUGGACCUUGCUAUAUAGAGGUAAGCUUGACAUGAAACAUGCUAAAAUUGAUACACGCUUUAUUUGUGGCAUUGCAGACAACAUAGUUCCAGUCUUCUUCUAUGUUGAAGAGAAGCUUAAGAUUUUUAUUUUGAUUCAUUAUGGUUGCUUGCUAUCGUUGCAGUCAAUGCAAUGUUUACAUUCCAUUUGUCAAUGUUUUAUGUGAUUUUAAUGCAUACUUUUCACUAAUGCUUCCUUGAUGCUGGCAUGAAUUUUUUAUACAUUAAUUCAGUUAAUGAAAUUAUUUGAAUGAGAUCAGAUGGAAAUUUUCAUUUGUUCACUUUGCUAUUAGAAAAAUGUACCUAUAUUUUUUAUUUGGGAACCUAAUGUAUGAAAUUGAAAUAUGCUUUUAGCCUCUAGUAUCUGAAUUCUGAUGCCACACCAAGUCUUGAGAGUUAAUAUUAAUAUGUUCAGGUCAGAGGUGGCUAGCUAUGGAGGACUGAUGUUUACACAUGUGACUCGGAUCUUGGUGCAGUUUUCAUGCAUACAGGUUACUGUCGCCCAACAGCUUCUCCGCCUCCGACAGCUAUACAAGAGUUGCAUGCAACCAUUCGUGUGCUACAAUUUAGUCCGGAUGUUGUUUAGAAAUUAGAUUAGAUUUUUUCUAAUAUAAAAUUGUAAUUUUUUUAAAUGUUUAUUUUGGAAGUUGAAUUUAUUUUUUCAAAAAGCGUGUCAAAAAACUUAUAUUUGGAAGAAAGAGGACAAGGCGAAAUGUAUCCUUCUUGAAGAGCUCAUGAGUGACUUGAGAACACGCAUCUGAAAUUGGCUCUGAUUCACCGUUUCCAUAUAGAACAGUUUUUAUGUCCAAUAUCGUCUUGCUUAGAUCUGCAAGAUAAGAAAGUGCAAAGAUUCUCACUUCCAAUUAGAAUUCUCACAUGAAAGGAAGGGACUUCUAUCAUUUUCAUAUGGCUUCAUCUUUGGUCUAAAUUUAUUAUGGAAGCAAAAAGGAGCCAGUAAAAUUGUACAUUUUCACUUUGCGUAUUUUCAAACAACAUACUUUAAUUUCUAGUUUCUA